rnacentral:tRNA from 1 species
AAGAUUUUGGCAGAAUAAGUGCAAUAAAUUUAGAAUUUAUAAAUAUGUAUCACAACAUAAAUCUUA